UACGGAGGGUGCAAGCGUUGUCCGGAUUUAUUGGGUUUAAAGGGUGCGUAGGCGGGCCAACAAGUCAGUGGUGAAAUCCUGCAGCUCAACUGUAGAAUUGCCAUUGAUACUGUAGGUCUUGAAUACAGUCGAGGUGGUUGGAAUACGUAGUGUAGCGGUGAAAUGCUUAGAUAUUACGUAGAACACCUAUUGCGAAGGCAAAUCACUAGGCUGGGAUUGACGCUGAGGCACGAAAGCGUGGGGAGCGAACAGG
rnacentral:rRNA from 1 species